AGGUGCUCAGCUGGGGACAUGGACUACCUGGUGACAUCACAAGCACGGUGACAUUACAAGCACUGUGCUUAGGGCCUGGCUGCCACCAGUGAGUGCCACAGCUGUGAGUGCUGUGCAGGAGUAUGGACACGCUGUGUCAGCCCUCGUCCCGGCUGGCAGUGAUAGUGGUGGGCUGAUGGGUGCUGCCCGCUCUCACUGACGGUGUUGCUCAGCCAUUACCUGGAAGGGAGAAGGACUGCAGCAGUGCCAGGGGUUCCUGUCCAAGAGGACAUUUUGUGGAUCCAAGCAGUCCAAGAGUGCAGCCAUCUCUUUUCAAGAGCGGGGAAUUCCUUUGGAGACAACCCAAACUUGUUCUUUCCUGGAACUGUUCUCUGCAGUUGACAUCUCAACUUCCUCCCAUGGCCCGGCUGCAUGAAAACACAAACAUUCUGAGAAGAAGGGAAAAGAAAGGAAUUGCCUCGCAAGAAAAGAGUUAAGGGUGAUUCUUGCUUCAGUCUCUCCUGAAUACACCCUGGUCAGCAUUGAAGUCCUAAAACUUCCAAGCAGGUCUGGAACUGCUUCUGGGAAACCAGGCAGACUCCAUGGCACAGUGGGAGGUCUCAAACACAACAUCUCAUGCCGCACAAGAAACAAAUAAGGCGCUGCACCUGAGCUGCACAGAGGCCAGGAAAGAACUCUUCUCAGAAGAUGAUGACAUUGAGAAGUUGUUGCUGGAAAUGGCAGAAGAAGAACUGGAAGGAAAAAUUAAUGAGGAUGCUGUGGAUGCACACAAACAAGUUCCUUCUGGAACUAAGACCACUGACAGUGUAACACCAUAGUCAGACUGUACAUUUUAAAACAAACAACAACAACAAAAAACAAUUAAA